AGAGUUUGAUCAUGGCUCAGAUUGAACGCUGGCGGUAUGCUUAACACAUGCAAGUCGAACGGUAACAGGCCUUCGGGCGCUGACGAGUGGCGGACGGGUGAGUAACGCGUAGGAAUCUGCCUCAUAGUGGGGGACAACGUGGGGAAACUCACGCUAAUACCGCAUACGCCCUACGGGGGAAAGCGGGGGAUCUUCGGACCUCGCGCUAUGAGAUGAGCCUGCGUUAGAUUAGCUAGUUGGUAGGGUAAAGGCCUACCAAGGCGACGAUCUAUAGCUGGUCUGAGAGGACGAUCAGCCACACUGGGACUGAGACACGGCCCAGACUCCUACGGGAGGCAGCAGUGGGGAAUAUUGGACAAUGGGCGCAAGCCUGAUCCAGCAAUACCGCGUGUGUGAAGAAGGCCCUAGGGUUGUAAAGCACUUUCAAUUGGGAGGAAAACCUGCCGGUCAAUACCCGGCAGCUUGACAUUACCUUUAGAAGAAGCACCGGCUCACUCCGUG
rnacentral:rRNA from 1 species